rnacentral:rRNA from 1 species
UUUUUGUUUAGUUGAAAUUGAGAUUGAUCCUGUCUUAUUUUAAUUAUAGUUAUUGGUUAUUUGAUAAUGUUAAAUAUAAAUUUUUGUGUGAUAUUUAUUUUGUCUAAAUGACAAUUUUUUAGUUAUUUGUAGUUUUUAUUUUU